ACCCAGGUUUUUUUUAAAACCACUUUAAGAUAUGAUUGAGAUAUG
rfam:TPA: Bos taurus chromosome 12, whole genome shotgun sequence.